rnacentral:rRNA from 1 species
CCCUUAGAUGUUCUGGGCCGCACGCGCGCUACACUGAUGCAUUCAACAAGCCUAGCCUUGACCGAGAGGUCCGGGUAAUCUUUGAAACUGCAUCGUGAUGGGGCUAGAUUAUUGCAAUUAUUAAUCUUCAACGAGGAAUGCCUAGUAAGCGUGAUUCAUCAAAUCGCGUUGAUUACGUCCCUGCCCUUUGUACACACCGCCCGUCGCUCCUACCGAUUGAAUGUGUUGGUGAGGAGCUCGGAUUGGCAGCAGUUGGUGGUUCUCCACCGGCUAUUGCUGAGAAGUCCUCCAAACCGCCCCAUUUAGAGGAAGGAGAAGUCGUAACA